AGAUUGAACGCUGGCGGCGUGCUUAACACAUGCAAGUCGAGCGGUAACAGGCGUAGCAAUACGUGCUGACGAGCGGCGAACGGGUGCGUAAUACAUGGGAAUCUGCCCUUUGGUGGGGAAUAACCCGGCGAAAGCCGGGCUAAUGCCGCAUAAGAUCUUCGGAUGAAAGCGGGGGAUCGUAAGACCUCGCGCCGAUGGAUGAGCCCAUGUCGGAUUAGCUAGUUGGUGAGGUAACGGCUCACCAAGGCGACGAUCCGUAGCUGGUCUGAGAGGACGGCCAGCCACACUGGGACUGAGACACGGCCCAGACCUCCGACGGGAGCAGCAGGUGGGAAUACGUUGGAACAAGUCGGGGAAACCUGACUCCAGCGACGCCGCGUGUGUAGAAGAAGGCCGUGCGGUUAGUAAGCUAACGUUUCGAAGUAGGAAACGAAAUAGUCGCCGGUACUAACGUACCCCGGUAGG
rnacentral:rRNA from 1 species